rnacentral:lncRNA from 1 species
UAUAGAUGGGGUUUUGCACUUUAGUAUAUUUGGUGUCUUCCCAAUCGAAAAUAUUGUCAGUGUCUUGUCUGUUCAAAUCAAAUAUUUAGCUAUAAGGUCUGUCAUAUUCAGUAAAUGAGUCCUUUCUUGUUCUUGCUUCUCAUACAGCGGUUUUUCUUAUUAAAGGGAUUUGAUGGUAGACUGAUAGCAAAUCAUUAUUACUUGGGAAGUAAUGGGCUGCUUAAGUAAACAACUAUUCCUAGGCGAGGUUAUGCUUGUAAAAGUUCUAGAUGUUUAUGCCAUUUCUUAGGCUAGAUUUCACUUCUGUUGGUCAUCAAACUGUUUAUGCCUUUUAAUAACAAUACUGUGUUGAUAUAUGCUUGUAUAUAUUACAUU